rnacentral:rRNA from 1 species
UACGUAGGGUGCAAGCGUUAAUCGGAAUUACUGGGCGUAAAGCGUGCGCAGGCGGUUGUGCAAGACCGAUGUGAAAUCCCCCGGGCUCAACCUGGGAAUGGCAUUGGUGACUGCACGGCUAGAGUGUGUCAGAGGGGGGGGUAGAAUUCCACGUGUAGCAGUGAAAAUGCGUAGAGAUGUGGAGGGAAUACCGAUGGCGAAGGCAGCCCCCCUGGGAUGACACUGACCGCCCAUGCACGAAAAGCGUGGGGGAGCAAACAGG